UACGUAGGGUGCGAGCGUUGUCCGGAAUUAUUGGGCGUAAAGAGCUCGUAGGCGGUUUGUCGCGUCGGCCGUGAAAUCUCCACGCUUAACGUGGAGCGUGCGGUCGAUACGGGCAGACUUGAGUUCGGUAGGGGAGACUGGAAUUCCUGGUGUAGCGGUGAAAUGACGGCAGAGUAUCAGGGAGGAACACCGGUGGCGAAGGCGGGUCUCUGGGCCGAUACUGACGCUGGAGGAGCGAAAGCGUGGGGAGCGAACAGG
rnacentral:rRNA from 1 species